rnacentral:rRNA from 1 species
GAUGAACGCUGGCGGCGUGCCUAAUACAUGCAAGUCGAGCGAACGGACGAGAAGCUUGCUUCUCUGAUGUUAGCGGCGGACGGGUGAGUAACACGUGGAUAACCUACCUAUAAGACUGGGAUAACUUCGGGAAACCGGAGCUAAUACCGGAUGAUAUUUUGAACCGCAUGGUUCAAAAGUGAAAGACGGUCUUGCUGUCACUUAUAGAUGGAUCCGCGCUGCAUUAGCUAGUUGGUAAGGUAACGGCUUACCAAGGCAACGAUGCAUAGACGACCUGAGAGGGUGAUCGGCCACACUGGAACUGAGACACGGUCCAGACUCCUACGGGAGGCAGCAGUAGGGAAUCUUCCGCAAUGGGCGAAAGCCUGACGGAGCAACGCCGCGUGAGUGAUGAAGGUCUUCGGAUCGCAAAACUCUGUUAUUAGGGAAGAACAUAUGUGUAAGUAACUGUGCACAGCUUGACGGUACCUAAUCAGAAAGCCACGGCUAACUACGUG